GACGAACGCUGGCGGCGUGCUUAACACAUGCAAGUCGAACGGAAAGGCCCUGCUGUUGUGGUGUGCUCGAGUGGCGAACGGGUGAGUAACACGUGAGUAACCUGCCCUUGACUUUGGGAUAACUUCAGGAAACUGGGGCUAAUACCGGAUAGGAGCUCCUGCUGCAUGGUGGGGGGUGGAAAGUUUCGGCGGUUGGGGAUGGAUGCGCGGCUUAUCGGCUUGUUGGUGGGGUAGUGGCUUACCAAGGCUUUGACGGGUAGCCGGCCUGGGAGGGUGAACGGCGACAUUGGGACUGAGAGACGGACCAGACGCGUACGGGAGGCAAUAGUGGGAAAUAUUGCACAAUGGGCGGAAGCCUGAUGCAGCAACGCCGCGUGCGGGAAGACGGCCUUUGGGUUGUGAACCGCUUUCGCCUGUGACGAAGCGUGAGUGACGGUAAUGAGUAAAGAAGCACCGGCUAACUACGUG
rnacentral:rRNA from 1 species